UACAGAGGUCUCAAGCGUUGUUCGGAUUCAUUGGGCGUAAAGGGUGCGUAGGCGGCGCGGUAAGUCGGGUGUGAAAUCUCGGAGCUUAACUCCGAAACUGCAUUCGAUACUGAGAGUCUCGAGUCCGGGAGAGGUGAGUGGAACUGCGAGUGUAGAGGUGAAAUUCGUAGAUAUUCGCAAGAACACCAGUGGCGAAGGCGGCUCACUGGCCCGGUACUGACGCUGAGGUGCGAAAGCGUGGGGAGCAAACAGG
rnacentral:rRNA from 1 species